AAAUAAAUAAUAAAUAAAUGUACAAUAUAAGAAAUAGUAAUGUUACAUAUUAUAAUAAGUAAAUUUAAAAUAUAAGAAAAAAUAAAUAAUAAGUAAAUAUACUAUAUACGAAAAAAAACAUUAAGUAAAUAUACAAUAUAAAAAAAAUAUUGAAUUAAACAUCUAUCUAGAAUUAGGGUUUAGAGUAAUAUAAAAAGAGAAACAUUAAGUAAAUAUACAACAUUUCUUAAUGUUUAAUUCAAUAAAAUAAUCUAAACUUAGGGUUUAGAGUUAAUAGUGGUGUUUUGAUGAUAGGGUUUCAAAUUAAAAAAAAAAUGGAGCUAUUUUGGUCAUUUUUCUUAUUGAAGGCUAUUUUUGUGACAAAAACUUAAAAAUGACUAUUUGAGAGAAUUGCCUACAAUAUAAGAAAAACUAAAUCAUAAGUAAAUAUACAAUAUAAGAAAUGAAAAACUAUAUCAAACAUCUAUUUAUAAAAAAUGUAUAGUUUUCUGGGGUUUUCUAAGAAAAUAUAUAUUCACACAAACAUAUAAUUCAGAAUUUUGUUGUUUUUCAGACUACAACGUCCAAAAGAAUAGUUAUAUAGUUAACAUUUGAAAAUCAAAAUAGCUCCGUCCGUAGUGCGGAUUAACUCCUAGUAGUAUUAUGAAUGUGGUAUUUGUGACAAUUUCCCUUGUUAUAACUAUAAGCACGGCUCUCGCUCUGUAUACGAGCAAACCAAAACUAGGGCUAAGAUGGAAGCUAGGAACUAUGGUCUGAUUCUAAUCGGCCGUGAAAAUCCUAUGAAAAUUAAUGUAGUGGAAUAACAUUUUACCCCCUAUUCAGAACUACGCUAGGCGCUAAUCGGGCGGCAAUUCCGGGCCUAGCGACUUACCGAAAAAUCGGAGAUUAAGCAGAGAUUAAUUUGGACGUAAUAUUUAGGCUUUCUCUGUUUGAUAUGGAUAAAUAAUAUCCCUUAUAUACUAAAACACAAGUCACUCAACCAAUAAUAUUUUGUCACAUAAUUUAAGAAAAAAAAUAUUUAGCAAAAUCAAAUAAAAUCAAAAAGGAAAAGACCAAACCUCAUGCAUUACGUUUGAUUUUAAAUAUUUACCAAAAGUAAAUAUUUUCUUAGUCCACCUCUCCAUCGGUUAUUUCUUCACAACCCACAAUCACCAUUAAGAGCACUUUAAAAAUAACUAACCUCUAUUCAACUAUUUAUAUUUGUCUGAGAUAAUUCUAUGAACGUUUAAUGCUUUUUUUCUUUAUAAAAAAAUACAGUCUCUCUUCCCUAAUCCACAAACCUGAUAAGAGCAUGCAGUGCUUCUUUUCUGAUAUAAUGGUUAACUAUACUUCGGCCAACCUGACAACGGCUAUUAUUUAUCAAACCUCUUCAAGGCAUGGACAGUCUAAGGUUAUAUAGUUAUUUUCAAAAUUCUAUAAUCUGAGAUGAGGCAAAAUGUAUAUAUCUAAAUUUUCCUAUCUCUUAAUAUAUUGUUCAAAUAUCUCUAUUUAUCUUUUUGUAGUCUUUGCAUAACUGAAUAAAUAGUAUCCAGGAGCUAAAAAAAUAAUGAUUUGCCUGAUGCAAUUCUUAAAAAUGUGAAAAGAGCAACAAAUCUCACACACUUAAAAACUAUCAUCAAAAAAAGAAAUUAUAUGUAUAAGUAUUCUUUUUUACUAAACCUUUUUAGUGAAGUUUUAAGUACCGUAUUUUUGCAUGGUUUAUUUCUAAUUGAUAUUUAUUUAUUUAUUGGCACUAAUAAAAUAAAAGUUAUGAAGAUACCACCUAUAUAAUAUCAUUAUUUUUGUGAAUUCUGUUAAAAAGCUACUUGAAUAACAAAUGCAUAUUUCUUUGUUUAUUUUCCAUAUCAACAUGUUUUUAAAAUAUGUUUAAAUAGGGAAACUAGAGUCAAAUCUAUACUAUUAAAGCAGAAUACUUCUUAUGAAUCUACCCCUGAAAUUUCCUAUUAAUUACAAAACAUUCCAAGAACUUAUCAAUUGUUUUUAAGGCUUCUACGGAAAUUUUAAGCCCACCACUACUAUACUUUGGUUUUUGAAAUAAAGGCCUAUUUUCGAAUUUACAGCAGCCCAUUUCGUACUAUAAGAUUUUCAAUAUCAAAUCAAAUAAAGAGAAUAUCCCCAAUCUUGAGGAACACGCAGAAAAUAUAUGAGUUUGUUUGACAUGGUAACUGAGUUUUCUAAAAACUCAUCGGAUAAAAUAGACAGAUUCUAUUUUCCAAUUUGAAAUCCCCCAACUUUCUCCCCAAGUUUCUCCUAAUUCCUAGCUUUGGAUCCGAUCAAUAUUAUAAAUACGCUUCACCAGUCUCCUAUUCAAAGCCAAACCUUCUAACAAACCAAAAAAUAAAGCAAUGGCUACUAAGAAUAUUGCACCUUCGAUGCAAAUCCAAGCAUCGAGAGGUACUAAUGAACAAUCUGUCGUCUUCGGCGACUUGAAACCAUGGAAAAACACUUGGUUGGUUCAUGUAAAGGUUCUACACGCUUGGAAACAAUACAUUCAAUCCGUGGAGACCAUGGAAUUCGUCUUGGCUGAUGAGACUGUAAGCUUUCGUUACUGUAUUUAUCAGUCCAUUAUGUCUUAUUUAACAUUUUGGGAUUGGCUACUAAUAUGACAAAUUCAUAUGGCUUUUGUUUUAGGGGCAAAAAAUUCAUGCAACAUGUAAAAGGACUUACAUUGAAAGUAAGGGAAGGAUUCUUACGGUUGGAGCAUGGCGCUACAUCCGGAAUUUCCAGAUUACUCCUGCUGGUGGAGCUUAUCGAACCACAGAUCAUACCUGGAAAAUUGUUUUCAAUCAAAAUACGGUCGUUACGCGAUCUAAUCACGUUGACGAGCUGUAUCUGAAUUUGUCCGACUCUCAAUCUGUUUUGUCUGGAACACUUGAUGAGAAUUUUUUAAUUGAUGUGCUGGGUCAAGUUAUGGAUUGUGGUGAUGUCGAAAACAUUCAGUGUACCGGGGGAAAGCAACCAAAAAAACUUGAAUUCACCCUAAGCGAAAUCAAUGAUUCGCGUUUACCAUGCUGCAUAUGGGCAACUUAGCCGAGAAACUCCAUUCUGCAAUUAACCAAGAAGUUGGAAUGGUUACUAUGCUGCUCAGGUUUGCUAAAGCUUGGGGGAUUUAGAGGUACAUAAUUCACGCCAGUACCAUGUUAUUUCACAUAAUGUACUAAUCCUUUAUCAAAACUUCACUUACAUGUAGUGUAUUUUUUAAUUAUCUACUAGGAGAACUGCAAAUCUCUAACGCUUUUGAUGCUUCUCAAAUGAUGAUCAACCCGUCAAUACCUGAAGCUGAAGCAUUCAAAGAAUUGUAAGACCAUAUUCUGUAACUUCGUUAUCACACACAUACUACUAAUUUUAAUCUUUGUAUUAUAACCAGGAUCAAUGACGAUGACAAAACUCUAACCUCAUUCCAAAGUAAUGAGGACAGUCAAGAGGACAACAACAAA